rnacentral:rRNA from 1 species
UACGUAGGGCGCAAGCGUUGUCCGGAAUUAUUGGGCGUAAAGAGCUCGUAGGCGGCUUGUCACGUCGGUUGUGAAAGCCCGGGGCUUAACCCCGGGUCUGCAGUCGAUACGGGCAGGCUAGAGUGUGGUAGGGGAGAUCGGAAUUCCUGGUGUAGCGGUGGAAUGCGCAGAUAUCAGGAGGAACACCGGUGGCGAAGGCGGGAUCCUGGGCCAGUACUGACGCUGAGGAGCGAAAGCGUGGGGAGCAAACAGG